UACGGAGGGGGCUAGCGUUGUUCGGAAUUACUGGGCGUAAAGCGCACGUAGGCGGCUUUGUAAGUUAGAGGUGAAAGCCCAGGGCUUAACCCUGGAAUUGCCUUUAAGACUGCAUCGCUAGAAUCGUGGAGAGGUGAGUGGAAUUCCGAGUGUAGAGGUGAAAUUCGUAGAUAUUCGGAAGAACACCAGUGGCGAAGGCGACUCACCGGACACGUAUUGACGCUGAGGUGCGAAAGCGUGGGGAGCAAACAGG
rnacentral:rRNA from 1 species